ensembl:lncRNA
CAGAAGGCUAAAUCCGGUAAAAGUGUACGAUCACUCACUGGUGCGCUACGCUGCUGACCAUGAUGCCCGUAAAGGGAGAGCUGAUAACAGUCCUCAACAAUCGACAAACCUCAGUGCCAUGAUAAGUACUCUGCGUGAGUCAAACAGACAUGCAGCGCUCGCACUGAGAAAGGGUACAAGGCCUGGUAGUAACACGCAAGAGCAUAUGACACAAAGGCAACAUCUGGAAGAGUUGACUUUGACAAGUAAUACAGGAAAAAGGAAUAAUGCGCAGCAGUCAAAAGACUCAAUGGAUGCGCUGAGAGUGAAAAAGAGAAAAUGCGCCAGGUUGGAGGAUCAGGAUGUUGAAAAUGGAGUAGACUAAUGCAAGCUUGGGUGUUUUCGUACGUAGACAUUGGUAGGCAAUUUAUUGUGUGUGGGUUUGUGCCAUGUGAAGAUAACAGCAAAAUAACACAUGCAAAAAACCACUAGGCUGUGUAUAGUGACAUUGUAGGACUGGGUCUGAGUUAGGACAGCUCCACUUGUGAAUACAUCACAAGUGUGACAAGUGUUUCACUUCAAUGUCUUUUAUUCGAUAUCCAGGUUGACUACAGGGUAUCGUGUCAGUGCACAGUGUUCCCAGUCAAAGUCCUAUUCGCAAUAGGGCAGAACCUUUCCAAAUGAAUAAUAUUUCAUUUAACACCGCAGACUCAGCUGUGGAUAAACCAUGCAUUCACUGUGUACGGCCCAUCAGCAGCACCGGAUUCAGAGAUGAGGGAGGCAGACUCAGGAGCAGCUUCAGCGUGACCCGCUGAAUGUCCCAGUUUGCCAUGUUCUUUGAGAAGAGGAGUUUCACCCAUUUCAUCCGCAUGCCUUUAGAUCAGUACGAGGCCUACGUGGAUGAGUUUGUCAACCGGUAUGCGGAACCACUUGCCAGGAUAGAGGUGCUGUGUUGCCAGCACCUCCUCGAUGCUCGAUGACUUCAAGCCACCAGGCGCCUUCUACGUGGAUGAGCCUGACCAAAAUAACCUUUCAAGGAUGUCUACGCGGUCAACCUGGGCGCCCAAGAAUGACGCAGAGUUGUUUACUGAUGACGAUCCUCCAAUGUGGCAUACCAAUGCUCUACAGCCCGGGACCAAGCACCCCCUUGGUCCGAUGCAGAGACCUGUUCACUGUUUCCUUAGAUGAGAAUGCUCAGCUGUUAGACGUCUGCUCCCACCGAAUGAAUGAGUGCGAUAGACAUGAAACCUGGGUGGCCAAAAACCAGGACCGUUUUGAAAAUACCCGGGUUCAUUUUCAAUCUGAGCACUAAGGACGAGACAUGCGGUGUGCUGUACUAUACUGCCAAAGAGAACAAGGUUAAGAAGGCCAUGUUCAUUAGCCCACUCGAUGGUGUGAUUAGAAUCGCUAUGCUGGUCAUACAACCCAAAAAUGGUCACAUGUGGAGUCUAAUCAAAGUAUGGAAUCACACUAUGAGCAGAAUGCAAAGCCCAGCGCAUUGUUAGUUCAUGAUCCGCAACGGGAACAUGUUUGGGGGAUACGGUGAUAAACCAUACUGUUAUUUCAUGUAUCAGAGACACAGGCAGGCUGACAGCUCAUGCUCAAAUGUCCAACUCUCCACAGCCGCAGCAACUGACAGAAAACUAAUGAUGGUGCUAGAUCUCCAGGAGUUGAAGCCUAUUGACACAUCCGUGAAACUUCUCGACGUAAGCGAAGAUAUACGUGCCAUUGAGAGGGCGAUGGACGAGUUUAAAAGAUCAUGGAAGUCGGAUUUGAAGCGUAUUGACACAUCCGUGGAAGUACCCGACGUGAGCGGAGAAAUACGUGCCUUUGAGAGGGUGAUGGACGAGUUUAAAAGAUCAUGGAACUCCUCCGGGUCUACUAUCCAAACACACAGUAUCCUGACACUUCUUUUCAUUACGAUGGCAUCGCUGAUGGUUGCAAUAUAGCCUCACAUGAACUACAUAUAUGUGAGGCUAUAGUAUGUCAUGCAAGCAAUAAUGUAAACUACAGUCCUGUAUAUUAGACUUGCAUUAUGUGAUAACGUUUCCUUUCCCAGUACACAUUUUGAUGAUAAUGUACACCUGUCUUUAGGUUAUAGUACACAUUUUGAUGAUAAUGUACACCUGUCUUUAGGUUAUAGUACACAUUUUAUUGAGCAUUUACAAUGAUACAUCAUGAAAUGUACAGAUGUAUUGAAUAAAAAAUAUAAAUAAUAAAAUAUACACUGAGUAAUCUCAA